UGACCCUUGUUUGGCCCAGCAGCCCUGCCGUCAUGACAGUGGGGUAGCAGGGCCAAACCUGUGCAAUGCUGUGACCCUUGUGUACCAGGUUGCAACGCCCAGCAUGGGAAGCCGGGCCCAUCCCCGCAGCAUGGGAACCAAGCCACUGCUGCGGGGUGAGAGCAGGGCUUGCUCACUCUAACAUCACCACUACGUUCCCCCCCCCCACCACCCCCAGCAUCCCUUCAGUGGUAAUUUUUUGGAACGGGCGGGGGCUUAGUGUCAGAAUUUACCCCUGGCCCUCCAAACACCUCUGUGUGGCCCUGAUCUAGAUGCAGGGGUGGGCACCAAAUCUUUGCAUGCUGAGUUUACCCCUCUCCCUUCCACAUCAACAAUGGCACCUCUCCUGUAGAAAUCUAGGUGCGGGUGCACUCCUCCCUGCUGGAAAACAUUGUUGGCAAAAUCAUGGUCCCUCUGAAGUCCAUGGGAGUUUUGCCGUUGACUUCCAUAAGGCCAGGAUUUCACCCUCUGUCUCCAGUGGUGGUAUGAAUGCUUCCGAAGCCUGAGGGACAUACACAACUCAUGUUCUCUGCCAAAGAGCAGGAGAUCGAACUUACUGGGAAUGCCUGAGACGAGCUUCAGAGGCCUGAGCACACGCACCGCUCUCAGGGUCCGCAGGUCCACAUGGGUGUUGAAGUGAGUUCCAGCCGUGGCGAGGAUGCUGCAGCCAGACAACGAGAAGGCAGAGUUAUUAGCCACAGAGACCUGGCAGUGUGAAUGUGCCCGUGAGAGGGAGGCAUCGUGACUAGGCCAUCACAGACAAGGCAUCCGACAGCCUGAAUUGGUGCACCUUACCCUCCGGGCACUAUCAGUCUGGAGCAGAGACAGCACUCAGAAGAUCAGAGUCUUUGCCCGGGUGGUUAGCGACACAUCUCAGGAUUAAUGCUCCGCAGGCUCAAGGUACCAGGCUCCCUGAACCUGGCAGUGCCACAGAACAGCAGGACAAGGAUGGAGAGGAGACUUAAGAAUUAAAAUGAGUGAAAUUACAAGGACCAGGAGAAAAAUCUGAGCCAGGCGCCUGCUUAAUCUGGGAGGUGGCUGCAGCGGUGGUGUUCUGGCCCAACAGUCUCAGGCCUGGCCACCUAAUCCCACAAUAUCCCAUCCAGAAUCAUGGUAACUAGAGUCCAGGCAGUCACAGCUGGCUCUCCACUUCUGCUGCAGAAGGAAUUCUAGUGUUACACUCUGGCCAACUUAACGUGCAUUUUAGAGCUGUACCAACUCCCUGCUUUAGGUUGCAGGGGUGCCGAAGAACCUUUCCUUCAGCUUCACAUGCCUCCAACUUUUGGGGUCCAAAUGAGCUUCAAAUGUCCAAGCAAAACCCAAUUUGAAACCACCAAGUCUGAUACAGUUUUACACCUAAACUAUCUGAACCUGCAUCCCAGUAGACAAAGACGCGGCCUCAGCGACACCCACCUCUCAGCUGGACUACAGCAGUGUGAUAUACCUGGGCAGGAAGCCCUCAGUGCUUAGGAAAUUCCAGUGCUACUGAACACUGCAGUGCAUCUCGUCAGCAACACAGGCCACCGUGAGCACAUCAAACCUGCCCUCUGCUCCCUACGCCAACUUCCCAUAGAACAUGAAAUAAGUUCAAGCCCUUGGGUCUUAUCUGCAGGGUUCUCAGCGGCUUUGUCCCAGGGUAUCUAAAAGACCAUCUAUUUCAUGGGGCACAUUGGAACUCUUUGCCACAAGCGUAAAGCUAGUCUGUGCAGGAACCAGAACUUCCUCAGGGGCCAGUCUGAGACUGUGACUUGAACUCACCCAGGAACAAAGGACCAUCACAAACCUCCCCACCUUGGGCUCCCAGCACAAAGUGCAUUUCUUUCCCCGGCCUUCUCUAACAGAAACACUAUUGGAAGGCACUCAGAUACUACAGGGAUGAGUGCAGUAUAAGAACCUAUAAAGAAUACUUUUGACACAAAGCCGUAAAUUAACCCCAAUUUAUUUGAAGCAUUGGAGACCUUUAGAUGAGCCUUCUCUGAGGAAACCCUGUAUUAGGGUGAUACACACUGCUCUCAAUUAGUGACUAAGAGGGGGAUUCUCUUAUGGCAAUGUGAAAUACUCACUGUCCCCACUUGGGAGUGUGGGGCCCAUGGAUCAUUUCAGAGCAGGCUUGAACAGAUUAUUUAAGCAAGACACCUGAUGUGCUGAGUAGCAGACAGCUCUGAAAUCUGCUUGCAAUCGAAAGGAUCGCCCUGGGUAUUUUUCCUUCUAGGAUCUGACUGUCAGAAAGAUGAGCUUGCAUUACACACACAAAAGCAGAGAGUCAACACCCAAUGGAGUAUGCAACUGCCCUUGCACAGACUUUGAUAUUCACAACAGGUGCCACUUAAGAAAUGAUUGGAUCUCUCAGAUAAAUUGCUGAACAGGCUCUUGAGCAUCCAUUCCAGCAUGCAAGUGUAUACUUGGCUCCAAUAUUACCAGAGAUGGGGCUCACCCAAACCCAUGGAUCCCCAUCCCAACACUGCCAAACUCUGGAGAAGUUUCUGACCCAUUUCUGAAGACCAUCUCUAAUUAGUAGUAGCGCACUCAAAUAGGAAUAUUCCUUUGCAUGUCUGUAGCCCCUUCCAUCUGAGGAUCUCACAGCACUUUACAUAAAUGAAUGAAUUAAGCCUGCAAGCAAAGCAGAGAAAGGUUCUUACCCCUAUUUUCCAGUGGAGGAAACAGAGGCAGAGAGAGACUUUGGUUGAGAUGGUGAAGAAUUGACCCCCACCCAGUCUAAAAUCAGAGAAGACACAGAGAUCCAUGUGGUUGUUACCACCAGAGGAGGUGGUAUUUAGACAUUUCUUAAAGGAGUGAGGGAUGGGGUGUGGCAACCAUUAACCAGGGAGCUGUUCCAAGCACGAAGGAGGCACUGAGUCCAAAGUGGGUCCAAGGCACCUCUCAAUCUGCCACACCCCACCUUUGAGUGGCAAAGACUCAAAUGAGGGUCAGAAACAAAAAUCAUUCAGAGUACUUCAAAUGCUGCAGGAUU